rnacentral:lncRNA from 1 species
UGGUAUUCAUGAGGCUGACAUAGAUUUAAAAAUUAGCUAUCUCUUACCUAGAGAACAGGAAGAGCCUGAAAAUGUGGGUCACAAAAAACAAAGGGCUAGGUCAGGACACUGCUUAGGUAGAAGGAAACUCAGAUGAGCCACUGAAAUGGGGGGCUCUGUGAAGCUAACUAUGGGGAUAGGAUUUAGUCUUUGACACAUGGACAGGUGCAAGAGAAAGAACCAAUUAAAUUAUUUUGUGUACUUUUAAAAAUUUUUGGUGGGAACAAUCAGAAAUACUACUUCAUAGAAAGACAAGUAAGAGAGGUAGAAAUGGAAAAGAGGCAGAUGAAGAAGGAAGGUAGAAAUGGAUGAAGGAUUGUGUUAUGGUAUUUAAAAACAAAAAGAAAAAAGGGCCCAAAACAAUUCAAGGCAUGAA